rnacentral:lncRNA from 1 species
AACAGACUUCCCUGGUGGUUUGAGGCUGGGGGCUGAGCUUUUCCUUCAACAUGGGAUCUUGAAGAACUUCCCAGCUACCCAAAGCCGCAAUUUCCUCCACCGCACACAGAAGCAGCUGAGUCAGUACUAGCCCAGGCACAAUGAUGAAGGGGUUGUUUGCCUUUGGUUCCAGGCCUGUCUCCCUCUCAAGCCCUGUGGCCCUUCCUGGACUAUCCUGAGCACUUCAUCUGCCUAAACCUGUUUCUUCUUUUCUGCCCAGCAACCCGGGGAUAGAUCCUUUUCCGUUCCACUGAAGCUUGCAGAGAAAAGCGGGCUGUGAGAAGCAAGGCCCCGGAGGGGAGGCAGACAGACCCUGAGCCGUGCAAAUUUGUGCAAAUGCCUGGAUUUGCCCCGAAGGCAGAGAGGGUGGGGAGCUUCAGAGACCAACAGGGGGAAAUUUGUACAUAGAGACAUGCAGAGAGAGGAGCUGAUGUGAAGGCAUGGAGAGAUUUUCAUCUACAAGCCAAGGAAUGCCUGAGCUACCAGAAGCCAAGAGAGAGGCAAGGAACAGAGUCUGCCUCACAGCCCUUAAAAGCAAACAACCCUGCUGACAUCUUACGUUUGAACUUCCAGCUUCCAGAACUGUGAGACAAUAAACUUCUGUUGUUUAAGCAACUCAGUUUGUGGUACCUUGUUAUGGCAGGCCUAGCAAAUUAAUACACCUUCUUACUAAAAACAACCAUAAAACUGCCAAAAUAUAUGAGGAAACUGUCUUUAGGUAUUUGGACAACAUGCGGUACGGGGCUGUGAUUCUUGAGAG